GGGUAGGUGGCCGAGUGGUUAAAGGCAACAGACUGUAAAUCUGUCCAGCUAACGCUGUACGCUGGUUCGAAUCCAGCCCUGCCCA
rnacentral:tRNA from 1 species